rnacentral:rRNA from 1 species
CACUCCUACGGGAGGCAGCAGUGGGGAAUUUUGGACAAUGGGCGAAAGCCUGAUCCAGCCAUGCCGCGUGCAGGAUGAAGGCCUUCGGGUUGUAAACUGCUUUUGUACGGAACGAAACGGCCUUUUCUAAUAAAGAGGGCUAAUGACGGUACCGUAAGAAUAAGCACCGGCUAACUACGUGCCAGCAGCCGCGGUAAUACGUAGGGUGCAAGCGUUAAUCGGAAUUACUGGGCGUAAAGCGUGCGCAGGCGGUUAUGUAAGACAGUUGUGAAAUCCCCGGGCUCAACCUGGGAACUGCAUCUGUGACUGCAUAGCUAGAGUACGGUAGAGGGGGAUGGAAUUCCGCGUGUAGCAGUGAAAUGCGUAGAUAUGCGGAGGAACACCGAUGGCGAAGGCAAUCCCCUGGACCUGUACUGACGCUCAUGCACGAAAGCGUGGGGAGCAAACAGGAUUAGAAACCCCUGUAGUCCCA